GUUACGUGGGAGGGGGAGGGGGUGUGCAAUUGUCAAAUUUUGCGUAGCGUAAUAUGUGAAUGAACCCUAAGUGUCAACAUUUCAAAACUUGUGAGACUUGUGAGGAGGAGGAAGCUACUACGGAAGUACAUGAUUUCAUCUGUAUCGCAAAAUCCAAACGGCCAAAUCUAAGUGCAGGUGGAGUAGCAAUUCACCAGAAAAGAACUGCAAUCAUGGCGAUUCCGUAUUCAGUGCGUAAACUUUGCGCUAGCUAUGAUCCAGAACUGGAUCUUGCAGAUGAGUACGGCGACAUUUGCGCAGUUGAGAUAAAUAUUCAAGGGAGUCCUGCGUUGCUGAUUUGUAUUUUCAUUUCGAAAGACACCACAAUCAAGCAGAAGAAGCUUUUUUUGGCACGAAACUUGAUUCUUCUUUUCAAUGACGAGGUGCCUAUGGUCGUCACCGACAACUUUGGGAUCGACAUAUCCAUGGAGGAAAACUUGGAAUUCGUGGAUUUCAUGAAGAAGUAUCUUCGGUUUGAUCUAGCGUCAGACCCUGCUCAAGCAACAACUGCAAGGGGAUCUGACAUUUACGCGAAAUGUGAAGUGUGAGACUAAGAGAUGCUAUUCGUACUUCCUCCACCACCGACCGAUGCUGACACUAUUUGAGUGUUAAACAGCCACACCAACCGACUUCAACCAACUUCUCAACCUUCAUCGGCAUCAAGAUGCAUGACAUGACGAUAAAUCAUUCUGCAUGAACAUCAAAAUGUAUAAAUCAUCAUCUUCAAUCCAACAAACGGCCCUUUUCAGGGCCACAGAAAAUUCCACUCAAGAGUUGAUUUUCGAGUUCGCAUGGCAUCCUUCACUAAACUAACAUCAAGGUCUAUCAAUAAACAUCUACAAUCAAACCAAAGGACCCCAAAACUUCGUAUCAGAGUCUAUAUCAACUUCAAUACAGCAUUCAAUAGUCGAAACUAAUGCAUAAACGGACGUUAUUCAACGUCAGACUUGCGGUCGUAUCUAGUAUACAACCCCUCCAACUUUUUCUCCCGGAAGAGACGGGUCUGCUGCUUCCGCUUCUGUCUGUAUCGCUCCACAUUCUGUCGGGUUCCAUGCUGCAGCAUUUCCGCCCGCGCUGCAUCCUUCUCCUCCAGAACCGCUCUGCACUCCUCGUCGAACCAAUCGUUUCGUCGACUCCGUUCUACGUAUCCGAUAGUGCUCUUGGCUGCGUUGUUGAUG